GUGUCAGCCGCCGCGGUAAGACGAACCGUGCGAACGUUAUUCGGAAUCACUGGGCUUAAAGCGCGUGUAGGCGGGACGGCACGUCGGUCGCUGAAAGCCCCCGGCUCAACCGGGGAACGGGCGCCGAGACGACCGCCCUGGAGGGACGUAGGGGGACCUGGAACUUCCGGUGGAGCGGUGAAAUGCGUUGAGAUCGGAAGGAACGCCCGUGGCGAAAGCGAGGUCCUGGACGUCUGCUGACGCUGAGACGCGAAAGCCAGGGGAGCGAACGGGAUUAGAAACCCCUGUAGUCC
rnacentral:rRNA from 1 species